rnacentral:rRNA from 1 species
CCUACGGGAGGCAGCAGUGGGGAAUAUUGCACAAUGGGGGAAACCCUGAUCCAGCGACGCCGCGUGAAUGAAGAAGUCUUUCUGUGUGUAAAGCUCUAUCGACAGGGAAGAGAUCCAGUCCUUCCGUCUUUUACCGGUCCCUGCCUACGAAGCCCCGGCUAACUACGUGCCACCCGCCGCGGUAAUACGUAGGGGGCAAACGUUGUCCGGAUUUACUGGGUGUAAAGGGAGCGUAGACGGCAGGGCAAGUCUGGAGUGAAAUCCUACGGCUUAACCAUAGAACUGCUUUUGAAACUGUGCAGCUGGAGUGCAGGAGAGGCAAGCGGAAUUCCUAGUGUAGCGGUGAAAUGCGUAGAUAUUAGGAGGAACACCAGUGGCGAAGGCGGCUUACUGGACUGUAACUGACGGUGAGGCGCGAAAGCGUGGGGAGCAAACAGGAUUAGAUACCCGUGUAGUC